rfam:Gossypium hirsutum cultivar TM-1 chromosome 9, whole genome shotgun sequence
AACCCAUGGUGAGGGCAUCUUCUCAACAGAUCCUUGUAUCUCUCUCAUGCAUCUUAGAGUGUUUCUAGAUCAAUCUGCACAAAAGAAGAGAUAUCAUUCCUUAAUUU